rnacentral:rRNA from 1 species
GUGGCGCACGGGUGAGUAACACGUGAAUGACAUGCCCUUCAGAGGGGGGUAGCCCAGGGAAACUUGGAUUAAUACCCCAUGGUCUCGCAAGAGUAAAGGUGGCGCAAGCUGCCGCUGGGGGAUUGGUUCGCGCCCUAUCAGCUAGUUGGUGAGGUAACGGCUCACCAAGGCGAUGACGGGUACUUGGUCUGAGAGGACGAUCAGGCACACUGGAACUGAGACACGGUCCAGACACCUACGGGUGGCAGCAGUCGAGAAUAAUUCACAAUGGGGGCAACCCUGAUGGUGCAACGCCGCGUGGAGGAUGAAGGUCUUCGGAUUGUAAACUCCUGUCAUCCGGGAGAAAGACCUGGCUGUGAAUAGCAGACAGGGUUGAUAGUACCGGAAGAGGAAGGGACGGCUAACUUCGUGCCAGCAGCCGCGGUAAUACGAAGGUCCCGAGCGUUGUUCGGAAUCACUGGGCGUAAAGGGAGCGUAGGCGGCGUGGUAAGUCAGAUGUGAAAUCCCGGGGCUCAACCCCGGAACUGCAUCCGAUACUGCCGUGCUGGAGCAAUGGAGGGGUAGCCGGAAUUCUCGGUGUAGCAGUGAAAUGCGUGGAUAUCGAGAGGGACACUUGUGGCGAAGGCGGGCUACUGGACAUUUGCUGACGCUGAGGCUCGAAGGCCGGGGGAGCGAAAGGGAUUAGAUACCCCUGUAGUCC